AUGCGUCUCGACCUCCUCCCUAACGCUGCGCCAGCGUGGCGCGCGCACGCCUCCCAUCCGGCGGCCGCGGUGCUGAACUGCAUGGACGCCCUGCCGGAGGCACUCGCCUUCAUCCAGCAGUUCAAGAGCAAGACGGUGGUGGUGAAGUACGGCGGCACGGCCAUGACGUCGCCGCUGCAUGCGUCGAUGAUCCGCAACCUUGUCCUCCUCUCAUGCGUCGGCCUGCGCCCCGUGCUCGUGCAUGGCGGCGGUCCAGAGAUCAACUCCUAACUGUAGCACAUCGGCGUCGAGUCGCAGCUCCGCAACGGCCUCCACGUCACCGGCGCUCUCAUCAUGGAGGUCGUCGAGAUGGUGCUGGUCAGCAAGGUCAACAAUAAGCAGCUCGUCUCCCUCAUCAGCCUCGCCGGUGCCACCGCUGUCGGCCUCUGUGGCAAGGACGCGCACCUCCACACCGUGCGCCCCUCCCCCGACGCCGCAGCCCACGGGUUCGUCGGCGAGGUGACGCGCGUACACCCCUCCUUGCUCCACCCCAUCAUCGCCUCCGGCCACAUCCCAGUCAUCGCCACUGUGGCCGCCGACGAGACUGGGUAGGCCUACACCAGCAACGCCGAAACUGUUGCGGGGAAGAUCGUGGCUGCCAUUGGCGCCGAGAAGCUGUUGCUUUUUUUUAGAAGACGAGAAGUUGUUGCUGAUCACUGCGAGUGGCGACGGGAUGAAGUGGGACUCCAAUGGGCUAAUAGAGCUAGCCCACCUAAUUUUCUUCUUGUUCAAUGA
rnacentral:rRNA from 1 species